UCCGGCGUAGCUCAACCGGUAGAGCGGGUGGCUGUUAACCACUAGGUUGGGGGUUCGAGUCCCUCCGCCGGAG
rnacentral:tRNA from 2 species